rnacentral:lncRNA from 1 species
UUCCUGCCAUCACGUGAAGAAGGACACGUUUCGUUCCCCUCCUUCCAUGAUUGUAAGUUUCCUGAGGCCUUCCCAGCCAUGCAGAACUGUGAGGUGUCAGAUCCCCGGCGAUGGAAAGCAGUCAACUCAUGGGUAGUAAAAAGAAUGUAUUGACAACACUAUAGGUUUGAAAAGGAAAGUUUUAUUAGAUGGAAAGAACAGUGCAGAAGACCGCAGCAGAGGACCUCAGCAAGAGAGAACUAAGAGGAGAUUGCAGAUGGAGGUGUUGUAUGUGACUGUUUUACAUGGAUUCUUCGCUCUGGUAGCAGAUGUUGAAGAAGCUCUAUGAAUGUCCUGUCUCUAUGUCCCAGUUUGUCAGUUUCAAAUACUCAUGUAUCUGAUUGUCAAUGCUGGAGAGCUGGGGCCAGGGCAGUAGUUGAUGAAUAUCACCUGACUGUCUCCUGCAGAAAAAGCAUUCCCAGAAGCACGGAGAAGUGAGGAGAAAAGGCAAUGCACCUGGAGCUGGAGACCAAGGCCCUGUUCUUACUGAUGGCCCUUGGAGCAGAUAUUUGAAUUGGAGAGAUAAAACCGUGGUUUUUGGGGUGUUAAUUUUGGUGGCUGAUGCAUUCUGUGAUUGAUUUGGCUAUUACAACUGGUAUUGAUUUUAAACACAUUAAUUGCAAAAUCUCAAUUGUGAUUUGAUUUCUGUAUUUACAAUACUAAAAACGAGGCUUUCGCCAGGAGAAGACAAUUGGCAGUACUCAGUUGGAAGUGCUUAAUUGUUAAUAUAUAUCAGCCGUGGUUCUUCAGCGUCGUCAGUGUUGCUCAGUCUUGCUCUUUGUGGCGACUACUGAAUGCUUGAAAAAUUCUCUCCUAUACUCCCACUCUGCACUGUAGAAGAGAAAGAGAGGAGAGUGGAAGAAAAAAGAGAGGGAGAGGAGAAAGAAAGAGAGGAGAGAGAAACAUGGGCAUGGAUGAUACAUAAGGUAGUUGUAAACUGUGAUCAGCUUUGAUAAUAACUAGAUAAAUUCUUUUAAUACAAAAAUAUAUAAGGCAUUUUGCCUUUUUUUCAAAUUUCAAAUAAAUGGAUUUGUAUAGAAUGUAGUCUGUUGCCCAGAGUUUUCAUUUAGCAUAAUGCAUUUGAGAUUUAUCCAUGUUGUUGUAUAUUCUUUUUAUUGCUGAGUAGUAUUCCAUUGUGUGGAUAUACCAGUUUGUUUAUCCAUUAACCUUUGAUGGAUAUUUGGGUUUUUUUCAAUAUGAGGCUCUUAUAAAUAAACCUUCUGUAAUCAGGUCUU